rnacentral:lncRNA from 1 species
CGUGAAUAGCAAGCCCAUUUGGGGAAUGUAUUUGAACAAUGACCCAAGCAGUCGCACAAGCAGAUCUGCACAUAUUAUUACCAAGGUAUCGUCUCAUCUUUUAAUCUUCUUUGCCACUCAAAUAAUCGGUUUUUUCUGGUUUUAUCUUUCAUGUGAGCAUUUAGAUUUUUGUUUUCUAGACUAGAAGCUUGAUAAGAAAACUAAAAGCAAAUAAUGAGAGAAGAUUAACCGGGCAGGAGGAGAGGGAAGAAGGGAGAAAAGGAAAGGAAAUACAUAGUAACGUUAUAUUGAUUAAAGAGUUCUAGCAACGCACCUGCUUCUAACUAUAUAUAAAGAUCUCUCUAUAUUUGAUAACAAUAUAGGUGGUAGUGGUAGUAGUAAUGGAGAUAGCGUACUAUACUAUAAGUCGACGAACGAUCAUUUGAAUUGCUAUUGAUGUAUACAUGGGCUUGGCCACUGGGAUCAUGAGAUUGAUGCUUGUUUAUUUGUUUUGUUCUUAAUUUAACUUUCGCAGGUUGCGAACCAGAUGCGCCAUUGACGGCGAUGGCAGGUUUGGAUUGGGAAGGAGAAGAUGAGAAGAUAGUUGGGGAGUAAGAAGGUGUAAAAUCGACAAUAUCGUCUUAUGUGCAUGAGGAUCCUAAUGGUAUAUGUUUGACACGAUUGGUGCUAAACAACUAAGAUAUGUGGUGGCGCGAGGUGGGGGUCGGCAAUGAGGCGGCUAUGCUGCAUGAGGC